rnacentral:rRNA from 2 species
CUACGGGAGGCAGCAGUGGGGAAUAUUGCACAAUGGGGGAAACCCUGAUGCAGCGACGCAGCGUGCGGGAUGACGGCCUUCGGGUUGUAAACCCCUUUCAGCAGGGAAGAAGCGAAAGUGACGGUACCUGCAGAAGAAGUACCGGCUAACUACGUGCCAGCAGCCGCGGUAAUACGUAGGGUACGAGCGUUGUCCGGAAUUAUUGGGCGUAAAGAGCUCGUAGGUGGUUGGUCACGUCUGCUGUGGAAACSCAACGCUUAACGUUGGGCGUGCAGUGGGUACGGGCUGACUAGAGUGCAGUAGGGGAGUCUGGAAUUCCUGGUGUAGCGGUGAAAUGCGCAGAUAUCAGGAGGAACACCGGUGGCGAAGGCGGGACUCUGGGCUGUAACUGACACUGAGGAGCGAAAGCAUGGGGAGCGAACAGGAUUAGAUACCCUGGUAGUCCAUGCCGUAAACGUUGGGCACUAGGUGUGGGGGRCAUUCCACGUUCUCCGCGCCGUAGCUAACGCAUUAAGUGCCCCGCCUGGGG